CCAUUUCGAUUUCGCUACUGUACAGUCAAUGGCGGCAUGGCAGCGAGCCAGCCGCUGGUGCCGCCUUCGACGCGCGUUGGAAUUUGGAAGUGUAUGGUUGUAUACAUGUGGACUUGAUGUGGCGUUGCAUGUGGGAGGCCCCGUCGGUAAUGUUCGCAGACUGGUCAUUUGAUGAUACGUGUGCACAGUGGUAGUGCUUGGGUGCCUCAAGAGGGAAUCACAGAGCAUAGCCACCAAUACAGCUAAAAGUCAUAGAAGAUUUUUAAAAUUGUUAUUUGAUUUUGUGUUGUUUCAGCAGUAGUAUGUCCUUCAACAAUCUGUUAUGUCCAACCAUGGAAUGAGUUGCAUGUUACUAUGUCAACCAAACGAGGCAACAACAAUUAGUCAGUGGAAAACAACACAUUCAUUCCUGCGGAUGGUUUUGAGUUUGGCGAAAGGACAAAAUCCAAUAGGGUUUCACUAUUUUCAAUUCACAAUAGUAAUGGUUUCGAAGAGGAUAUUGAUGGAGUUUCGGUAUAAAAAAGUAUAAGUACAUGGAUCCUUUUACUAUCACACAUGUUAUGGUAUUUUUACAAAAUCAUUGAAGUGCUUAUCUGGACCCCCUUGUUUUCUGUGGCCCCGUUUCCCCUUGACUUAUAUUAUUUUCUUUAACCCUUUUGUGCGUGUAAAACUAAAGGCUAAAAGAAGAAGAAUGAUUCAAAAAUUGUGGGAGAGAAUCAUCAAAGAAUCAUACACGUUUAGGUAAUCCAAGGAAAUAAGAAAGAGUAUUAACUCGGCGUAGUCUUCGAUUCCGUCUUUUUAAAAGCUGUUUUUUCUGUGGGUGGAACUUUUUUGGUCGAGAUGUUAUGGGUGUCUUAAAGGCACUGAAGGUUGCAUUAGAUCCCCAACAAAAAGGGAACACUGGAAAUCCCAGGUGGUGAUGGGAAUUAGUGACAAUGUUACGGUGUAGAUAACUUCAGAAAGUGUGACGCUAGCUGAUGUAAACCGCACCAGCUGUGCUAUUACCAAGUCUGUCUCACUUUUGCCGCCUAGCAGGAAAAGGUUGUGAGAGUAGCAGAAGAAGAGGAAAUUGCAGUAAACCCGUUUUUGAAAGAAGCCAAACAUUCCGAUGAUAUGGGAUCCCAGCCUGUGGAAACAAAAACACUAUGUUUCAGAUAG